rnacentral:rRNA from 1 species
UGAUCCUGCCGGAGGCCAUUGCUAUUGGGAUCCGAUUUAGCCAUGCUAGUCGUACGAGUUCAGACUCGUGGCGAAUAGCUCAGUAACACGUGGCCAAACUACCCUUCGGAACACAAUACCCUCGGGAAACUGAGGCUAAUAGUGUAUACCACAUCACCACUGGAAUGAGUGAUGUGCCAAACGCUCCGGCGCCGAAGGAUGUGGCUGCGGCCGAUUAGGUAGACGGUGGGGUAACGGCCCACCGUGCCAAUAAUCGGUAUGGGUCAUGAGAGUGAGAACCCAGAGACGGAAUCUGAGACAAGAUUCCGGGCCCUACGGGGCGCAGCAGGCGCGAAACCUUUACACUGCACGACAGUGCGAUAGGGGGAUCCCAAGUGCACAGGCAUAGCGCCUGUGCUUUUCGGUACCGUAAGGUGGUACCAGAAUAAGGGCUGGGCAAGACCGGUGCCAGCCGCCGCGGUAAUACCGGCAGCCCAAGUGAUGGCCGAUCUUAUUGGGCCUAAAGCGUCCGUAGCUGGCCGCGCAAGUCCAUCGGGAAAUCCACCUGCUCAACAGGUGGGCGCCCGGUAGAAACUGCGUGGCUUGGGACCGGAAGGCGCGACGGGUACGUCCGGGGUAGGAGUGAAAUCCCGUAAUCCUGGACGGACCGCCGAUGGCGAAAGCACGUCGCGAGGACGGAUCCGACAGUGAGGGACGAAAGCCAGGGUCUCGAACCGGAUUAGAUACCCGGGUAGUCCUGGCCGUAAACAAUGUCUGCUAGGUGUGGCCCCCACUACGAGUGGGUGCUGUGCCGUAGGGAAGCCGCUAAGCAGACCGCCUGGGAAGUACGUCCGCAAGGAUGAAACUUAAAGGAAUUGGCGGGGGAGCACUACAACCGGAGGAGCCUGCGGUUUAAUUGGACUCAACGCCGGACAUCUCACCAGCAUCGACUGUAAUAAUGACGACCAGGUUGAUGACCUUGUCCGAGUUUCAGAGAGGAGGUGCAUGGCCGCCGUCAGCUCGUACCGUGAGGCGUCCUAUUAAGUCAGGCAACGAGCGAGACCCGCACCCUUACUUGCCAGCAGUACCGCGAGGUAGCUGGGGACAGUAGGGGGACCGCCGUGGCUAACACGGAGGAAGGAACGGGCAACGGUAGGUCAGUAUGCCCCGAAUGUGCUGGGCAACACGCGGGCUACAAUGGUCGAGACAAAGGGUUCCAACUCCGAAAGGAGACGGUAAUCUCAGAAACUCGAUCGUAGUUCGGAUUGUGGGCUGCAACUCGCCCACAUGAAGCUGGAUUCGGUAGUAAUCGCGUGUCACAAGCGCGCGGUGAAUACGUCCCUGCUCCUUGCACACACCGCCCGUCAAAGCACCCGAGUGAGGUCCGGAUGAGGCGUUCCACGAACGUCGAAUCUGGGCUUCGCAAGGGGGCUUAAGUCGUAACAAGGUAGCCGUAGGGGAAUCUGCGGCUGGAU